rnacentral:lncRNA from 1 species
AUCAAAUUCUCAGAGCUGUUAGGUGUGUUGUUACUGUGUUUGUGAGAUUUUGUUAUUCAUUUAGCAGACACUCUGAUCCAGAGAGACUUACAGUAGAGAGUCAUUUAACAGACUCUCUGAUCCAGAGAGACUUACAGUAGAGAGUCAUUUAACAGACUCUCUGAUCCAGAGAGACUUACAGUAGAGAGUCAUUUAACAGACUCUCUGAUCCAGAGAGACUUACAGUAGGGAGUCAUUUAACAGACUCUCUGAUCCAGAGAGACUUACAGUAGAGAGUCAUUUAACAGACUCUCUGAUCCAGAGAGACUUACAGUAGAGAGUCAUUUAACAGACUCUCUGAUCCAGAGAGACUUACAGUAGAGAGUCAUUUAACAGACUCUCUGAUCCAGAGAGACUUACAGUAGAGAGUCAUUUAACAGACUCUGAUCCAGAGAGACUUACAGUAGGGAGUCAUUUAACAGACUCUCUGAUCCAGAGAGACUUACAGUAGAGAGUCAUUUAACAGACUCUGAUCCAGAGAGACUUACAGUAGAGAGUCAUUUAACAGACUCUGAUCCAGAGAGACUUACAGUAGAGAGUCAUUUAACAGACUCUCUGAUCCAGAGAGACUUACAGUAGGGAGUAAUUUAUCAUAGUGUAUCUCUCUCUCUCUCCAGGGUGUGAUUUAUCAUAGAGUGUAUCUCUCUCCAGGGUGUGAUUUAUCAUAGAGUGUAUAUCUCUCUCUCCAGGGUGUGAUUUAUCAGAGUGUAUCUCUCUCUCUCCAGGGUGUGAUUUAUCAGAGUGUAUCUCUCCAGGGUGUGAUUUAUCAGAUCUUGAAGACCUUUACUAUACGGACACUGGGAAGAAAACCACUUCAGGAUUUCAUUCUUUCUUUCCCAUAUGUCUUUCUCUCUGGAAAUCAAGCCAAGCAGCCAGUCUGUUGUGUAUUCCAAAUGGCACCCUAUUCCCUACAGGACCGAUAGCGCUCUAGUCUAAAGUAGUGCACUAUAUAGGGAAUGGGGAGCCAUUUGGGAUGCAGGGAGAAUGUUCUUCUCUGAGUGCCUCUUCCAAAGACCACUAACCUGCCAGACCAUAGUGCAAGCCUUAACUAUUCC